CUGCGAGUGCCCUCAAGCGGAAUCUGAGGAGGAACUGCAACCAGUCCAGAAACCGGAGGUGCCGCUUCACUCAACUGGAUGGUCAGGCUGACUGCAACCGUAGGCCUACUGAAUAGAUGGCAGGAAAGCACAGCACGCGGGAAUUUAUAAAUGAAGAGUGAAUAAAUGCACUUGCUUUUCAAACUGA